UGGGGAAUUUUGGACAAUGGGCGAAAGCCUGAUCCAGCAAUGCCGCGUGUGUGAAGAAGGCCUUCGGGUUGUAAAGCACUUUUGUCCGGAAAGAAAUCCUUGGCUCUAAUACAGUCGGGGGGUGACGGUACCGGAAGAAUAAGCACCGGCUAACUACGUGCCAGCAGCCGCGGUAAUACGUAGGGUGCAAGCGUUAAUCGGAAUUACUGGGCGUAAAGCGUGCGCAGGCGGUUUGCUAAGACCGAUGUGAAAUCCCCGGGCUCAACCUGGGAACUGCAUUGGUGACUGGCAGGCUAGAGUAUGGCAGAGGGGGGUAGAAUUCCACGUGUAGCAGUGAAAUGCGUAGAGAUGUGGAGGAAUACCGAUGGCGAAGGCAGCCCCCUGGGCCAAUACUGACGCUCAUGCACGAAAGCGUGGGGAGCAAACAGGAUUAGAUACCCUGGUAGUCCACGCCCUAAACGAUGUCAACUAGUUGUUGGGGAUUCAUUUCCUUAGUAACGUAGCUAACGCGUGAAGUUGACCGCCUGGGGAGUACGGUCGCAAGAUUAAAACUUAAAGGAAUUGACGGGGUCAUAGCUGUUUCCU
rnacentral:rRNA from 1 species